UAUCAAUAAGCGGAGGAAAAGAAACCAACAGGGAUUGCCUCAGUAGCGGCGAGCGAAGCGGCAAAAGCUCAAAUUUGAAAUCUGGCUUCGGCCCGAGUUGUAAUUUGCAGAGGUCACUCCCGGAAACGUGCCCGCCGAGUCCCCUGGAACGGGGCGCCGCAGAGGGUGAGAGCCCCGUGCGGUGGGAUGCCGAUCCCGUGGAGGUCCUUCGAAGAGUCGAGUAGUUUGGGAAUGCUGCUCUAAGUGGGAGGUAAAUUCCUUCUAAAGCUAAAUACCGGCCAGAGACCGAUAGCGCACAAGUAGAGUGAUCGAAAGAUGAAAAGCACCUUGGAAAGAGGGUCAAACAGUACGUGAAAUUGCUAAAGGGGAAGCGCUUGCGACCAGACACGGGCUCGGCGGAUCAUCCGGCGUUCUUCGCCGGUGCACUUCGCCGCUGCCUGGGCCAGCAUCGGCUCGGCCGGGGUACAAAAGCUCGGGGAACGUAGCUCCCUCCGGGGAGUGUUAUAGCCCCGGGCCUAAUGCCCCGGCGCGGGCCGAGGACCGCGCAUUUGCAAGGAUGCUGGCGUAAUGGUCGUCAGCG
rnacentral:rRNA from 1 species